rnacentral:rRNA from 1 species
GAUGAACGCUGGCGGCGUGCCUAAUACAUGCAAGUCGAGCGGAAAGGCCUCUUCGGAGGUACUCGAGCGGCGGACGGCAGAGUAACGCGUAGGAGCAUACCCCAAACUGAGGGAUAACUGCCCGAAAGGGUGGCUAAUACCGCAUGUGAUCUUCGGAUUAAAGCUUCGGCGGUUUGGGAAUGGCCUGCGUUCGAUUAGCUAGUUGGUGAGGUAAAGGCUCACCAAGGCGGCGAUCGAUAACUGGUCUGAGAGGAUGAUCAGUCUGACUGGAACUGAGACACGGUCCAGACUCCUACGGGAGGCAGCAGUAGGGAAUUUUCCACAAUGGGCGAAAGCCUGAUGGAGCAACGCCGCGUGCAGGAUGAAGGCCCUUGGGUCGUAAACUGCUUUUAUGUGAGAAGAAUAUGACGGUAACACAUGAAUAAGGGUCGGCUAACUACGUGCCAGCAGCCGCGGU